rnacentral:rRNA from 1 species
CUACACAUGCAGUCGAGCGGUAGCACAGAGAGCUUGCUCUCGGGUGACGAGCGGCGGACGGGUGAGUAAUGUCUGGGAAACUGCCUGAUGGAGGGGGAUAACUACUGGAAACGGUAGCUAAUACCGCAUAACGUCGCAAGACCAAAGUGGGGGACCUUCGGGCCUCAUGCCAUCAGAUGUGCCCAGAUGGGAUUAGCUAGUAGGUGGGGUAAUGGCUCACCUAGGCGACGAUCCCUAGCUGGUCUGAGAGGAUGACCAGCCACACUGGAACUGAGACACGGUCCAGACUCCUACGGGAGGCAGCAGUGGGGAAUAUUGCACAAUGGGCGCAAGCCUGAUGCAGCCAUGCCGCGUGUAUGAAGAAGGCCUUCGGGUUGUAAAGUACUUUCAGCGAGGAGGAAGGCGUUAAGGUUAAUAACCUUGGUGAUUGACGUUACUCGCAGAAGAAGCACCGGCUAACUCCGUGCCAGCAGCCGCGGUAAUACGGAGGGUGCAAGCGUUAAUCGGAAUUACUGGGCGUAAAGCGCACGCAGGCGGUCUGUUAAGUCAGAUGUGAAAUCCCCGGGCUCAA